AAGCGACUGCUACUAGAUGCCCAUUUUCACACCGGGCAUUCCCGUGGCUGUUUUGUUCAUUAGCACUUUGGCUAAUAGCUGCUAAAUUCCGGGUGUACCAGAGGCACUGCCUCAAUUACCGGCAGCUCCUUCUGAAUGGGGGAAGGAAAAUGGCUGGAAGAAAGGACUGCCUUGGUGAUACAUUUCCAAAGCACCUGCCAGCCAUCUAUUGCAGUCCAAGUAAUUUACAUAUAUUCCUGACACAGACAAUGGAGGAUAUUGUCAAAAGCUUGGAAUUUUAUAACAAAUUAACAUAAUAACUUCACUGAGAAGAUUUUGUGUAACAAAUCCAUCAUGAAGGACUUCAACAUUGUAUUUAAGGACUGUUGA